AUUUUUUUGAGUGCUAAGGAAUAAAAUACUCUUAGUUAUAGUCAAAACAAACUGUUCCUUUGGAUGUCCUCAGAGGAGAUCUAAAUAUUGUACAUCGGAUGAGGAUAACUUUGUGAGGUGUCUCUCAGCCAGCUGUUAGGCCUCUUAGGCAACUCCACAUUUCCUUCCAAAGCUCAACUCAAUUGUUUGAUCCAGGUGUUCCAUGUUAGAGAACCAUUUGUGUAGGAGAGGCUUUUAACAUCUUUCUAGGAUUCUAAUGUAAGUAAACCUAUGGAUUAAAUAAAAUCACUGAGCAAGGAUAUGCGCAGAGAAAACUCUGUCUUCCAGAUUUCACAGGGCUUUUUAGGUGUCUUCUUUUUUAGAAGAAUAGAGCUCCUCCUUCCACAGUUUCAUUGGAAAUGGCAUCGAGUAUCCUUUUAGCAACUGGUCUCGAGCUUAAGAGAGAAACAGCAAAAGAAGAUCAAAUGACUGGCUAUAUAGGUAGGUGUUGCUGAAAUGAGAUAUAAACAUGCUAGUACUUGAGUAUCUAGAGUGAUUUUAUAGUAUAUUACAAGAUCUUAGUGCAAGAACAGUAGAGUGGGUUGAUCCAACAAGCAAUGCGUGAACCCUAGAGCAAGUCUGUAAGCAAAUCUGGAACAAGAAGCAAGUUCUUCCAAACAGUGAUUCCUUUCAUCUCAGAUAGAUGGGUAUCUGAUGGGUUCAGUUGUACAAGUGUUUCUCAGUGCAAGAAAGCAGUUCUUUCUAAUGCAGAUGCUUCUUUUGCUAGUGCUUAGUAUGCACUGGGGAGCUGAUCUAAGAUAACACUGGUGUUUUAAUUCUCUGGUUUGGGUUUAGUGCAGGUUUUAUGUAUGAUUGAGAAUGAUACAUGUGGAAGGGCCAGAAUACUGCCUUCCUUUAUUUAAAUGACAAUUAGAAAAAAAGUCUGGUGGUAUUGCACCCUACCCAAGGCUGGAAAGAGUGAGGAGUGGAGUGGGAUGUAUACAUGGUGCAGAUAGUGGCUACUAUUCUGCCAGCUACAGAUAGGGAGUAAAACAUGAUACAGAUGUGGGGAUGAAACAGGGAAUUCCACCCAAAGAAUGGGAAGGUGUCAAGAUGUGGCAUCUCUUGUUCAUUACAACAACUUUUAGCAGGACUGUGCUCUAACUGCCUGCUGUGAAAUCAGCUGAUAAGAUAGGCAGCACAUUGGAGGUUCUUGCUGUUUGACUGAAGUCUCCCUAUGAUGUACCUGAAGAAGACAUUUGGACAGUCAGCAUUCUUCCCUAACAGCGUGCUCAUCAUGAAAGCAGGUCUUUAUUAGAGUGCCCAUUACUGUGUACUUCUCAAAUAAGUCGGGCAGGUAAAGUCAUCUCAGGUCUUUGAAACAAAAACACAUAGGAAGUCUUUGAAAAUCCUGAACUAGAAUUAAAAUGUCUAAGAGAAUUUUUGUGUGGGCAAAGCAUUGCAAGCACCAGCAUCAAAAUUCUGCGGAAGUUGCAUUAAAAGAAAUCUGUUGUAGUCAGAUGAUGUCUCUCUCUCUUCUUUGUUCUUAUGUCUUAGAUUUUUCUAAAGAUGGUACUUGAGGACAAAGUAGCAGCAGUGUUUGUGUAGGGAGAAGACAGCCUGAUAAAGCUGCGCGUUGUUUUAGGACUUUUUAGAGAUUAUUUUUAAAGAACGCUCAACGUGAACUGCAUCUUUCCAUUGUAAUCUCUUCCUCUGUUGUUGAAUCAGUCAUUCUAGAAGGAGUGCACUCUUUCUCAGUGGGGGUACAGAAUAAACUGCUGCACAGGCGUAGUGGAAAUCUUGCGUAGUGUGAAAUCUGAACUUUCAGAAGUGGGAAGUUGCUCCUAGGCUUGGUAACCAGCAGAGUGAUAGCAACUAACAGUAACUUAGGUCUGUGCUGCCUUCUGUAGCUGUGUGCCUUUCAGCUUGAGAUCCUACAUGCUUGAAAUGCUAACAAGUUACAUGCUUCAUAUCUAUUUAAACAUCUUGUAUUUCUUAAGGAGCUCCCAAUCAUGAGUAAAAAAUACAGUAUGGGGCAAAAUAUACUUGAACUUUUUUAUAUGUUAAAAUGUAUAUCAUUCAGAUACUGAGCUGGAUCUAGCCCUGGAUACAGCUGUCUUGCGACUGAGCUUUGCUCUUCAUUAGGGAUGUGGAAUAAUAAUUCACAUGGAUCCUCUGUUAGCAGUUGCUGAAUUUGUUGGUAGGUGACGAUAUCUGAAGUUACGAAUCUUCUGUGCAGUAGAGACUGCAGCAUAGAAUAUGUGAUAGGACCUCCAGGGGGAAGCAUAGGACUGGAAGGACCAUGCUGGCUUUUAGCAGAGACAGACUUUCUGAUACUCAGAACCUUUGUUUGUGUUAGCAGUAAAUCUUUUCUAUACCAAAUUGAGACUACAUAAUCUUCAUCUUGAAGAAUAACACUGUCAGGCUUUAAUACCAAAAGAUUGGAUGGACUCAUUACUCAUGGAGAUAAGACUACCUGAUGAAAAAUGAGAUGCAGUGUGUGAUUAAACACUCAGACCCUCUGCUAAUUAUAUUCUUGGUUCAGUUCUGUCAUUACAACAACUCAGUGCAGGUGUGUGCUGUCUGGAAGAAGAGAAGUAAUGGUAGAAUUGAAAGAAGCCAAAGUCCAGAGCUGUGUAAAAUUAUUUUUGGUAAAUUGCAUAAAUAAAACAUCUUAGAAAUGAUAAUUGUCUGCACAGCAAUUGGAAAUCAAGCUCAAAAAUGAAAUUAAAACUUUUUUUGAUAUCUUCAGUAUGUCAGUGCCUGGUCCCUUUUAUCUACUAAUAAUGUUUUAGCUUCUAUUCUCAUCUUGUCUCACGUUAUCCCAGAAGAAUGUUCACGGCGCCAUAUGAACUGAGCAAGGUGGUAAGUUAAUUUGUCUUUAUACUCCAGAAGUUUGAUUGCAGGCUUUUUUGGGUCUAUUUCAUUCCUAGUGUGGAUAUGCAGGGUGCUGUACUGUGCCAGGCAUCAAGUGAGACGCAUCCCGGAAAUGUUUCUGAAUGUAUGAAGAAAUGAGAAGGAACACAUUUCCCCGUGGGUGAAUCCCAGCCUGCAGAAUGCUGUGGGUGAUACUGAAGAGCUCAGGCAGGCCUGUAGCAUGGAGCUGCUCUUUAGCUUCUGACUGAUGCAUCUCAUCAACCGGUGUUCUACAGAGCGAUAAACAGGAGGGAAAGGGCUUAUGAGAGCAUACGUCUCGAUCACAUUGCAGCUGCUUGUGCUGUGUACCACAUUCUUAACGUUAUUAGAAUCAUUCCCAGUAUAAUCAAACUACGCUUCUCCAGUUACAUCAAGGCUAAUUUUGGCCCGGUGCUUUCUGCAGCUCAGGCAGACUUGAUGGAAGCAUUUUUAAUCACUUUUUACAAUCCUGCACACAAAUUUCAGUUGUAUCCUGGUGUAAGAAGUUUUAGCACCCCAGCACUGUACUGGAGCAGUUCACGUUGGCCCUGGGGUGGCUGAGGAUGGCUUUUCAAUGUUUACAGACUACAUGGGGAAAAAGAAAGGAGCUGUCAAGUGGAGAAAUGAGGGCAUGGAUCAUAGGAAUUUCUAGUUUCUUCUCAAUAUUGUUGUAUUUUUAAAUAUACCUUCCUUUUCUAAGUGUUUUCUAGGUUUCUACGCUCUGUCCCUAUCAACCCCUCAUGUGGUUUGUCAUGCACUGCAGUCAGAAGGCUUGACUUGCAUUUAUCUUUUGGCUUAGAGCUAAUUCCCCAUGCCAACAUUCACAACAACAGAAUUGAUUGAGGAAGUGAAUAUUGCACUUUUUCUUGAGUUUCAGUUGAAGUGUUUAGGAAGUUGGACCUUAAUUAGCUUUUGGUAGAGCUGAAGUAGAGGAAUAGUUAUGUAACUGCCCAGCUGUUUGUGAGAAAACACCUUCAUUUGGUGACAUCUGAGUCCCUUCAGUGCCUUCUGAGAGGUACCUGCUGCUUUGCAGGGCUCACAUGGAGUAAUUGGGAGACUUCAUAAUACCAUGUGAUUUAAAAAUAAAGGCAGAGCAAAAUGAAAAUCCAUCAUACUUUACAUUAACAGCUUUCAAUGUCUGCUUUUUUUUUUUUUUUUUUGCAUGAUUUGUAUUGGGAGAAGAAGAAAACAAAAGAAUAACCCUGGUGUUCUGUUUGUCCUCGAUGUAAGGACUGCAUAGUACUGCAUCUUCUGGAUAGAGAACGGCAGGCGUUUGGAGGCUGAGGGUUGAUGCUGAAGGACAGAGACUGUGAUGAGCACUAUCAGUGUGCAACGUGAACUGAUGGCAGGUAUUCAUAUCUGGUCCUCGUAGUCUGACAUAAAUAUGGAAGCCAUAAGAUGCAGUGUGACUUCUGGCCGUGGAUUCUUCUGUUCUUGAUGAAUAUUUCAGUGUUGAUAGAAACAUUUGUUUUCAUAGCAUGUCCAAGAGCUGUUCUGCAGUGGAGAAGGUAAGUUCAUAGGUGUGGGCAGGGGACGGACAACCAAGGCCUUCAUCUGUUCUCAAGAGUUGUAUGGACAGAUGUUGGGCUGAUCAAACAGCUACUGAAACCAUGAAGAAUCGGGGCAUAUUUUUAUUAGUGGGGAUGAAAAGAGAGAUUUAAGAUUUUUAGCCUUUCCAUGAUGCUCUCAGAUGCAUGGUUGAAUUUUAAGGUGUUUCUGAAUGGAUCCAGAUUGUGAUGUGCUGUAAUUAUAUUUGUUGUCUUUUGAAACAGACUCGGUUGCAGUUCAUUGUCAUUCUCUGUUCAUUUUCCUGAUUGAGAAUUACUCUCUGCAGUGCUUGUUGCUGGAAAAUAUUUAGUUGCCAGUGUUUAUUUCUGUCUUACAAGUUCAGCUGAGUCCUCUUUGCUUUAUGGUGAGGGACUGCUGCUGGCUAUUAGCUGUGCUUUGAAGACAAAUAUCCCUAUUUUCAUUCAAGUUCAGAUUGUGUUUGCUCCGAAACCCAAUGGAAGUGUUAGCUGUAUCUCAGUUCCCUGAUUUGGGUUGAUAGGACUUGCCUGUGAAUCUUGUUCUGACAGAUGAUUACCUCCCUGGACUCCUUCCUUAGGUAACUUAGCAAAGAGUCCCAGGUAUGCUUUGCAAGGUAGAACCACGUGUAGACAACAGGGUUUUGUUGUUCUUCAGGGGGAAAAAAUACGUAGCAUGGAAACAUGAAAUCUGAAUCACCCUGAAUUUAAAAAUAAAAAUCUAGGAGAUACAGCGACUUAAUGCUGUAAGUUGGAAGAAUGGUGGUGAAGUUCUUGAAUAUGAGAUUUGUUUUAAACUGACAAUAAAACUGUGUGCAAUUUGUGCUUUUGCAGUAAAUGUAAAGCGUGCCAUGGAUUAGCUAAUCUUCCAGAAGAACCCCAGCAUCUGCAUGCCAUGGCAAGUGAUCUGAGGAGCUCCAGGUGGGUGUGCUACAUGUAUAUCGAGUCGUCUCUCUAGACACUGUACUCUAUGAACUGCACGUGCAUUGUAGAAUUGUUUCCUUCCUGGUCCUUUUGUAAUGUCUGGUGUUUUAGUUUUGUUUUUUUUUUUUCCAAAUAAAUAUCUUUUGAAGUCAUUACUUUGUGGGUGUUUUCCAAGGGUCUGAGCGUUCUCUUGUGUUGCUGGUCCUCGCUGAUGUAUUUAUUCUCUUUGGAUCACACGGGGUAAGGGAGCAGAGAAAGUCAUAAUUGCUUCAGUUGGGUGCAAAAUGCAAACCCUUUUUUCUGAAGACUUUCAAGUAUUUUCUUGGAGAGCCCUUAGCAGAGGGAAAAUAAUUCUGAGCAAACCUGAAGAAACUUCUCAUGACACAAAAUCUAUUCUGAAUUUACAUUUGGAAAGCAGUGAUAAAUUAGAGUUCAGCAUCCUGUGAUUUUUACUCUCCUGUGAAGUGCCGAUUCCUCUGGGAACCUUCAGCAGUAUGAAGUUAAGGGUAGCCUUGCACUUGCAUGAAUAAUAAAGAUUUGGCUUAAUCUUGGCUCGUUAGAUCCCCCCACCCCGGAGGAAUGAGAAGAGCACACCCAGUGGUCUUUAACAUGCAGCACCUCGCUGUCUUUGAAGUCUUCCAUUUGAUUUUUUUUCAGGCACUAAGGGGUAAAGUGCCCCGUGAACUGCCAUAGGUGGUGAUCUGUGUGUGCAUGGAUGUAGUUACUGAAGAAUUCCUUUCUUCUAGAAAGUAUUCUGGCAUGUCACAUUGUUCAGUCUGGCUUCAUUUUUCAUUUCAGCUGUGCAGGCAUUUCCAGAAUCACUCUGCUCUUUUUCCCUUUUGCUUAUUCCUUUUCACAUGCCAUGUGCCAGUCCUGCUGAGCUGCAGGAUUGAGUGCUUCCUAAAAACAACUACACCAAUGCUGGCACAAGACUGUUACGGAGACUUGACCAUGAAAGCAGAAUUAUAGUUAAUCCUGUACCAAACGUGUUAAGCAAAUGAAAUAAAAUAAAAAUCCAGAUGUUCUGAA
ensembl:lncRNA